rnacentral:rRNA from 1 species
UACAGAGGUCUCAAGCGUUGUUCGGAUUCAUUGGGCGUAAAGGGUGCGUAGGUGGCGCCGUAAGUCAGGUGUGAAAUUUCGGAGCUUAACUCCGAAACUGCAUUUGAUACUGCGGUGCUUGAGGACUGGAGAGGAGGCUGGAAUUUACGGUGUAGCAGUGAAAUGCGUAGAGAUCGUAAGGAAGACCAGGUGGCGAAGGCGGGUCUCUGGACAGUUCCUGACAGCUGAGGCACGGAAGGCCAGGGGACGCAAACGGG